rnacentral:rRNA from 1 species
AUUGAACGCUGGCGGCAGGCUUAACACAUGCAAGUCGAGCGGGGGGAGGUAGCUUGCUACCGGACCUAGCGGCGGACGGGUGAGUAAUGCUUAGGAAUCUGCCUAUUAGUGGGGGACAACAUCUCGAAAGGGAUGCUAAUACCGCAUACGUCCUACGGGAGAAAGCAGGGGAUCUUCGGACCUUGCGCUAAUAGAUGAGCCUAAGUCGGAUUAGCUAGUUGGUGGGGUAAAGGCCUACCAAGGCGACGAUCUGUAGCGGGUCUGAGAGGAUGAUCCGCCACACUGGGACUGAGACACGGCCCAGACUCCUACGGGAGGCAGCAGUGGGGAAUAUUGGACAAUGGGGGGAACCCCGAUCCAGCCAUGCCGCGUGUGUGAAGAAGGCCUUAUGGUUGUAAAGCACUUUAAGCGAGGAGGAGGCUACUUUAGUUAAUACCUAGAGAUAGUGGACGUUACUCGCAGAAUAAGCACCGGCUAACUCUGUGCCAGCAGCCGCCGUAA